GACGAACGCUGGCGGCGUGCCUAAUACAUGCAAGUAGAACGCACAGUUUAUACCGUAGCUUGCUACACCAUAGACUGUGAGUUGCGAACGGGUGAGUAACGCGUAGGUAACCUGCCUGGUAGCGGGGGAUAACUAUUGGAAACGAUAGCUAAUACCGCAUAAUAUUAAUUAUUGCAUGAUAAUUAAUUGAAAGGUGCAAUUGCACCACUACCAGAUGGACCUGCGUUGUAUUAGCUAGUAGGUGAGGUAACGGCUCACCUAGGCGACGAUACAUAGCCGACCUGAGAGGGUGGUCGGCCACACUGGGACUGAGACACGGCCCAGACUCCUACGGGAGGCAGCAGUAGGGAAUCUUCGGAAAUGGACGAAAGUCUGACCGAGCAACGCCGCGUGAGGGAAGAAGGUUUUCGGAUCGUAAAGCUCUGUUGUAAGAGAAGAACGGGUGUGAGAGUGGAAAGUUCACACUGUGACGGUAUCUUACCAGAAAGGGACGGCUAACUACGUG
rnacentral:rRNA from 1 species